UUCCAGUGUCUCCCAGUGAAGGAUGUGUUCCCAUGGCAUGUGGUGGCUUUGUCUACAUGGUUGCCUGUCACAAAGACAAAGUGAGAGUUGUCAAGCUGACUCCAGCCAACUGCCUCAGAGCACCCAGGGCACGUAGAAUCCAUAUUGCCCUUUCAGCACAGACAUGGACCUUGGCAUUUUGACCCUUAGGAGUAAGUUGCUCACAAGUAAGUACAAGUGAUUUUUUCAAUAUGACCUGGAUGCUUUUAGACCUGCAUUUUAAAAAUAUAAUGGAACCUAAACAGUGCA